CGAGUCGUUGGGUUGACUAAACCCUGAGGCGCAGUGAAAGCAAAGAGUUGCUUGCAGCUCGAGGGACGAGGCUUAACCGCUGCAGUCCCGCCAUUUUCAAUCAUCCUCGUAUGUUGGGAAUAGGCAGAGUAUAGAUGUUGGGACCCGAAAGAUGGUGAACUAUGCCUGGUCAGGUUGAAGUCAGGAGAAAUCCUGAUGGAGGACCGUAGCGAUUCUGACGUGCAAAUCGAUCGUCGGAGCUGGGUAUAGGGGCGAAAGACUAAUCGAACCAUCUAGUAGCUGGGUUCCUUCCGAA
rnacentral:rRNA from 1 species